AGCGAACGCUGGCGGCAGGCUUAACACAUGCAAGUCGAGCGGGCAUCUUCGGGUGUCAGCGGCGGACGGGUGAGUAACGCGUGGGAACGUGCCUUCUGGUUCGGAAUAACUCAGGGAAACUUGAGCUAAUACCGGAUACGCCCUUUUGGGGAAAGGUUUACUGCCGGAAGAUCGGCCCGCGUCUGAUUAGCUAGUGGGUGGGGUAACGGCCUACCAAGGCGACGAUCAGUAGCUGGUCUGAGAGGAUGAUCAGCCACACUGGGACUGAGACACGGCCCAGACUCCUACGGGAGGCAGCAGUGGGGAAUAUUGGACAAUGGGGGCAACCCUGAUCCGGCCAUGCCGCGUGAGUGAUGAAGGCCUUAGGGUUGUAAAGCUCUUUUAUCCGGGACGAUAAUGACGGUACCGGAGGAAUAAGCCCCGGCUAACUUCGUGCCAGCAGCCGCAGUAA
rnacentral:rRNA from 1 species